CACUGCCGAGAAAAGCCUCUAGAUAGAAAAUAGGUGCCCGUACCGCAAACCGACACAGGUAGUCAAGAUGAGAAUUCUAAGGUGAGCGAGCGAACUCUCGUUAAGGAACUCGGCAAAAUGACCCCGUAACUUCGGGAGAAGGGGUGCUCUUUAGGGUUAACGCCCAGAAGAGCCGCAGUGAAUAGGCCCAAGCGACUGUUUAUCAAAAACACAGGUCUCUGCUAAACCGUAAGGUGAUGUAUAGGGGCUGACGCCUGCCC
rnacentral:rRNA from 1 species